AUUCGAUAUUUCUAUUUUUUUUUUUUUUUAGUUGAAGCCACAAGUAGUGAAAUUGAUAAAGCUCCGAAAAUUUCUUCUUAUAUAAGUUUUAUGUUUAUUGCUGGCUUGUGUACAAUUUACUCCACAUAUGGUUCUAUGCCUGAAGUUGGUUUAUCAAAUAAACCCGCAAUUUGCAAUAUAGUUGUUUUUCCUAUCCUGAACUGCCAUUCAGUGCAAUUACUUGUCCUUUCGCGACUCUUAGAUUUAUAUAUCUUUUAUAACAGCAGGAGCUUCUUUGAAACUCUUAUCUACAGAAGUUAGCUCUAGUGCUACAUCAUCACCCAUGUUGAAAAGACCCGCUAAAUUUCUAUCUGCGCCACUGUUCCAAUCCCACCUCUUUUCACUAAGAAAAGGAUAAAGGAUGCAUCUUUAUAAAAAUCAAAACGAUUACUUGAAUUUUUAAACGUGGAGUGAAAUUGCAUGGGAUUAGCCGUUCCAUCAUUUUUUCGUACAGUAUGCCUUCAUCCGAAAAUGGUUAAUUUUGUAAUUUUUUUUAAUAUUCGUUAAGUUCGCAUCAUCUCAUUCGUUAUUCGCUACUUUCAUCAGCAAAUUAAACAUUGUUUUAUUUUUAUCGCUUAUACGAGUAUAUCAUUGCUAUAAUAAACGUAUAUAAGGUUCGAGUGUUGAAAAACAUUGGUCUAGCGGUUUAUAAUUGAACGGAAUGAAGAAAGAAUAUGCGUGUUCUUUAUCGACUCUUGCGUGAGAUAUGUUGCUAUCAUGUAUCGACAGAAGCGGGCUUUAGCGACGUUUAUGGUAAAAAUUUAACGAAGAAAUAAAUUAUAUUUGUUUAAUUAAUAAAUUCGGAGAAUAAAAUGUCUAGAGAAUAUUUUAAACUUGUACAGAAAAUGGGGAAUAGUGAUGAUGAAAUCCAUUUCCGAUAGUUCAG
rnacentral:lncRNA from 1 species